rnacentral:rRNA from 1 species
GAUGAACGCUAGCUACAGGCCUAACACAUGCAAGUCGCAGGACUGGCGCACGGGUGAGUCACGCGUAACCAACCUUCCCAUAGCUACGGGAUAACCCGUUGAAAGACGGCCUAAUACCGUAUGGUUAUGGGUGGGGCUGCGUUUGAUUAGCUUGUUGGCGGGGUAACGGCCCACCAAGGCGACGAUCAGUAGGGGUUCUGAGAGGGAGCCCCCCGGGAUUGGAACUGAGCCCCGGUCCAAACUCGUACGGGAGGCAGGGGUGAGGAGUAUAUGGCCAUGAGCGAGAGCCUGAACCGGCCAAGUAGCGUGCAGGAUGACGGCCUAUGAGGUGUAAUCUGCUUUGAUGUGGGGUGAGGUACCACAUGAAUAAGGACCGGCUAACUCCGUGCCAGCAGCCGCGGUAAUAC